AGACGUCUACAUUAGAUACCCGGGUAGUCCCAGCCGUAAACUAUGCGCGUUAGGUGUAUCGGUGACCACGAGUCACCGAGGUGCCGAAGGGAAACCGUGAAACGUGCCGCCUGGGAAGUACGGUCGCAAGGCUGAAACUUAAAGAAAUUGGCGGGGAGCACCACAACGGGUGGAGCCUGCGGUUUAAUUGGACUCAACGCCGGGAAGCUCACCGGAUAAGACAGCGGAAUGAUUGCCGGGCUGAAGACUCUGCAUGACUAGCUG
rnacentral:rRNA from 1 species